GAUAAAGGAUUUAUUCUAUGAAGUGUAUCAGGACAACAGGCUACCCAUUUGGAAAAGUAUACAAUUAGAUACCUAUCUCAUUCCUUAUAGCAAAAUAAAUUCUACAGUUAAGCAUAAGAGCUGAAACCAACAUAAUCCCAGAAAAGUAAUCGCAAGCAGAAAUACAAAACUCGGCAAAUAUAAAAGAACAUUAGGCUGACAAAUUUUAUCGUAAUCAACUUCAAUGGCUUUUUACCAUAAAGCUUUUCAAAAAAGAACCAAUAAACUGGAGCAGCUAUCUUUUGUCUCCAUAUGGAUGUGUACACUUACAACAUGUGGAGCUUUCUCUGAUUUGACCAGAUUGUAUUCUUGAUUCACUCCUCCCUCCUUGUAUGGCUCCAGUAGCUGUCCUCUGCUUCUUUUUGCUAGCACAUUGUUGGACCCUCUCCAUCUCUAUUCCUAGAGGACAUCAAACCAUAAAGGGGUGACCACAAAGUGAUGGGGCACACAAGUGGAACACUUACCAUUUCAUAAGGAAUGCUUCUACGAAGAUAUAACAUUUAACCUCUAUUGAGAGAAAAUAGGAGUUUUCCAGGGCAAGGGAGUAGGGGCAGGGUGGUAAACAGCAUUUUGGGAAUGGGGAUUUCAUGUACAAAUAUGCAGAGAAUGACACAGCCAAAUAUAUUCUAAACAUGAAAUAGAUAGAAGAUGCAAAGUUGGCAAAGCAUAAUGAAAAAUGAUAUGCAAAAGGUAUUUUGACUCAAUUUACAGAGUGCCAUUCAGAAGUUAACUGAUCAAUACAAAGGGUAUCUGACUCACUCUGUGUUUUCAAGAGACAGGCUUUCCAAAAGCACUGAGAAUAGACGGAGAAGAUACACUGGGGGAAGAAAAGACCAGCAAACUGCACCAGUGGGCCCCUCAUCUUGCAUCAGGCCCAAAAACUUAACUUCACCUCUGACUGUGAUCAACAUAUUGAUGAAGACUGGCUAUGUGGAUGCUGGAAGAUGGGGAAAACUUGUUUCAAGCUGAACAUUAUCCUUGCCAUUAACUUGCCUAAAGAGGCUGGAUUCAUCUGGGCAGUUUUCACUGCUGCAAGUUAGGCACCUUAUUCCACAAGGUGCAAGUAGCAUGGAAGAGAAAAGCAAAGUUCAUAGGCAAAACUUCCAAGAACAAAGAUCUCUGAAUUGGGAUGAAAUUCUAACUGCCAGAUUUGCUCUCUAUAUCUCUCUUGAUAUGUUUUCUACUUACUGUGGAGUGACAGUUGUUGUGGAUGGGAGGAUUGAAAAUGGGAAGAACUAAUCAAAGAUAUAAUGUUGUGGAAAGGACUGAUAAGCUACACAAACCUGUGUCAUAUUAUUCUUUUCCUUGGAGCUCAGCAUGACAGCAGGCAAUAACAGGAGAAUAACUUCAAAAAAAUCUUUAAAGCCA